rnacentral:rRNA from 1 species
UACGUAGGGGGCGAGCGUUGUCCGGAAUCAUUGGGCGUAAAGCGCGUGUAGGCGGCUUGAUCAGUCCGGUGUGAAAACUUGGGGCUCAACCCCAAGCCUGCACUGGAUACUGUCAAGCUUGAGUCCGGGAGGGGAGAGCGGAAUUCCUAGUGUAGCGGUGAAAUGCGCAGAUAUCAGGAAGAACACCUAUGGCGAAGGCAGCUCUCUGGGACGGUACUGACGCUGAGACGCGAAAGCGUGGGGAGCGAACAGG